UACGUAGGAGGCGAGCGUUGUCCGGAAUUACUGGGUGUAAAGCGCGGGUAGGCGGCUCGUUAAGUCUAUGGUGAAAGCGCCCGGCUCAACUGGGCAGAGUCCAUGGAAACUGGCGGGCUGGAGGUCGGUAGAGGCGAGUGGAAUUCCCCGGUGUAGUGGUGAAAUGCGUAGAGAUCGGGAGGAACACCAGUGGCGAAGGCGGCUCGCUGGGCCGGACCUGACGCUGAGACGCGAAGGCGUGGGGAGCGAACGGG
rnacentral:rRNA from 1 species